rnacentral:rRNA from 1 species
ACGAACGCUGGCGGCGUGCUUCACACAUGCAAGUCGAACGGAAAGGCCCUGCUUUUGUGGGGUGCUCGAGUGGCGAACGGGUGAGUAACACGUGAGUAACCUGCCCUUGACUUUGGGAUAACUUCAGGAAACUGGGGCUAAUACCGGAUAGGAGCUCCUGCUGCACGGUGGGGGUUGGAAAGUUUCGGCGGUUGGGGAUGGACUCGCGGCUUAUCAGCUUGUUGGUGGGGUAGUGGCUUACCAAGGCUUUGACGGGUAGCCGGCCUGAGAGGGUGACCGGCCACAUUGGGACUGAGAUACGGCCCAGACUCCUACGGGAGGCAGCAGUGGGGAAUAUUGCACAAUGGGCGGAAGCCUGAUGCAGCAACGCCGCGUGCGGGAUGACGGCCUUCGGGUUGUAAACCGCUUUCGCCUGUGACGAAGCGUGAGUGACGGUAAUGGGUAAAGAAGCACCGGCUAACUACGUG